rnacentral:rRNA from 1 species
GAUGAACGCUGGCGGCGUGCCUAAUACAUGCAAGUCGAGCGAACAGACGGGGAGCUUGCUCCUCUGACGUUAGCGGCGGACGGGUGAGUAACACGUGGAUAACCUACCUAUAAGACUGGGAUAACUUCGGGAAACCGGAGCUAAUACCGGAUAAUAUAUUGAACCGCAUGGUUCAAUAGUGAAAGACGGUUUUGCUGUCACUUACAGAUGGAUCCGCGCCGCAUUAGCUAGUUGGUAAGGUAACGGCUUACCAAGGCAACGAUGCGUAGCCGACCUGAGAGGGUGAUCGGCCACACUGGAACUGAGACACGGUCCAGACUCCUACGGGAGGCAGCAGUAGGGAAUCUUCCGCAAUGGGCGAAAGCCUGACGGAGCAACGCCGCGUGAGUGAUGAAGGUCUUCGGAUCGUAAAACUCUGUUAUUAGGGAAGAACAAAUGUGUAAGUAACUAUGCACGUCUUGACGGUACCUAAUCAGAAAGCCACGGCUAACUACGUG